rnacentral:rRNA from 1 species
AGACCCGAAACCCGGUGAUCUAGCCAUGGGCAGGUUGAAGGUUGGGUAACACUAACUGGAGGACCGAACCGACUAAUGUUGAAAAAUUAGCGGAUGACCUGUGGCUGGGGGUGAAAGGCCAAUCAAACCGGGAGAUAGCUGGUUCUCCCCGAAAGCUAUUUAGGUAGCGCCUCGUGAAUUCAUCUCCGGGGGUAGAGCACUGUUUCGGCUAGGGGGCCAUCCCGGCUUACCAACCCGAUGCAAACUGCGAAUACCGGAGAAUGUUAUCACGGGAGACACACGGCGGGUGCUAACGUCCGUCGUGAAGAGGGAAACAACCCAGACCGCCAGCUAAGGUCCCAAAGUCAUGGUUAAGUGGGAAACGAUGUGGGAAGGCCCAGACAGCCAGGAUGUUGGCUUAGAAGCAGCCAUCAUUUAAAGAAAGCGUAAUAGCUCACUGGUCGAGUCGGCCUGCGCGGAAGAUGUAACGGGGCUAAACCAUGCACCGAAGCUGCGGCAGCGAACGUAUCACCCAAGACAACUUUACGGAGUUGGCGAUUGACGGAGCGAAGCGACGUCAAAGCGUUCAUUAAAGUCGAGUUGGCUUAGGGAUACGUUCGUUGGGUAGGGGAGCGUUCUGUAAGCCUGUGAAGGUGUGUCGUGAGGCAUGCUGGAGGUAUCAGAAGUGCGAAUGCUGACAUAAGUAACGAUAAAGCGGGUGAAAAGCCCGCUCGCCGGAAGACCAAGGGUUCCUGUCCAACGUUAAUCGGGGCAGGGUGAGUCGACCCCUAAGGCGAGGCCGAAAGGCGUAGUCGAUGGGAAACGGGUUAAUAUUCCCGUACUUGGUGUUACUGCGAAGGGGGGACGGAGAAGGCUAUGUUGGCCGGGCGACGGUUGUCCCGGUUUAAGCGUGUAGGUGUGUGUUCCAGGUAAAUCCGGUUCACUUUAACACUGAGGCGUGACGACGAGGCACUACGGUGCUGAAGCAACAAAUGCCCUGCUUCCAGGAAAAGCCUCUAAGCAUCAGGUAACACGAAAUCGUACCCCAAACCGACACAGGUGGUCAGGUAGAGAAUACCAAGGCGCUUGAGAGAACUCGGGUGAAGGAACUAGGCAAAAUGGUGCCGUAACUUCGGGAGAAGGCACGCUGACACGUAGGUGAAGUGAUUUACUCAUGGAGCUGAAGUCAGUCGAAGAUACCAGCUGGCUGCAACUGUUUAUUAAAAACACAGCACUGUGCAAACACGAAAGUGGACGUAUACGGUGUGACGCCUGCCCGGUGCCGGAAGGUUAAUUGAU